UAGGAUUAUAUGGUGUGUGGUAUUACUGAGUCUGAAUACUUCUUCUACAUCGUAAUAACAGACACUUGACAGUCUGGAGUCUGGCGCUGCUGAGCGACACAAGACUGAAUGCAGUCAAACCUGAAACCACACGAGCCAACAGGGCGUGUGUGUGCGUUUCGACACGAAGGAGUGUGUGAUACCUGCGGACCAAAGCUCCACGUCACCAGCUGCCAACCCUCUGAAGGUUCACCGAUACACCUGCUUUAGAGACCUCGACAGAGGAUGCUGGUUGCUGUUCUGGCCUAAACCUUCGAGGCUCAGCCUCUGCGAAGUAACACCAGAACACCUUCUAUCACUGACGGCAGCUCACAUCAUCACAUCAGGCAGCUACCCGGGCUAAGCCGUGCGGGCCCGGUGGAGUUAAGUGAGCUCCCGGUUCUCGGGUCUCCCUCACCGGCGACUCCUACCUUCACUCUGACCCCGGCUCGCCGCCUUCUCCUCCGCCGCGAUGCUGUGGGUCCCUCCGCCCAUGCUGCUCUGCUGCUGCGCGCCGUCUGCUCCGAGCCUUCGCCCCGCAGCCCUGCUUGACGAACACCCCGCUAGCUUCCCAGCUAGCCCCGGCUCACAGGUCAGACCCAACCGGAACAGAAGUCCGGUUCGUUUCUCAGGUUAUGGUGGGAGGAGGCCUGGUGAGUCCGGCAGAUUUCAGACCGGAGCGGAGGUCAGAGAAGCCCGCAGAGACCACAGGAUCAUCGGGGUGAGAAUCUGGAGGAGCUGAGGUGUCCCGGAACUGAAGGAACCACUGCUGCAGAGAUGGGAAAACUGCCUGACUGAUGUACCACUCUGAUGAAAACAACAAACUCGGGUCGCUGGACUGUAGUCCAACACAGAUGAUACCCGAUACAAAACAAUAUGACAUUAACACACACAGUAAUUUAAGAUUAUCAGUGUAUUAAAAUACCAUUGAAGAAGCACAUCCGCAUUUCUUAAUGUGCAAACGACAUUUUUUAUUUGCUUUACUUCAUUAAAUCUCCUGACAC